rnacentral:sRNA from 1 species
CGGGGGCCAGGCAGCCUCGCCCACAGCGCGGCCCUGACGCCCACCUGCCCGCCCCCAGGAUCGUGGAGAACCUGGGCAUCCUGACCGGGCCGCAGCUCUUCUCCCUCAACAAGGAGGAGCUGAAGAAAGUGUGCGGCGAGGAGGGCGUCCGCGUGUACAGCCAGCUCACCGUGCAGAAGGCCUUCCUGGAGAAGCAGCAAAGUGGGUCGGAGCUGGAAGAACUCAUGAACAAGUUUCAUUCCAUGAAUCAGAGGAGGGGGGAGGACAGCUAGGCCCAGCUGCCUUGGGCUGGGGCCUGCGGAGGGGAAGCCCACCCGCAAUGCAUGGAGUAUUAUUUUUAUA